rnacentral:rRNA from 1 species
CCUUUGCCGGCGACCGGCGCACGGGUGAGUAACACGUAUCCAACCUGCCGAUGACUCGGGGAUAGCCUUUCGAAAGAAAGAUUAAUACCCGAUGGCAUAGUUCUUCCGCAUGGUAGAACUAUUAAAGAAUUUCGGUCAUCGAUGGGGAUGCGUUCCAUUAGGUUGUUGGCGGGGUAACGGCCCACCAAGCCUUCGAUGGAUAGGGGUUCUGAGAGGAAGGUCCCCCACAUUGGAACUGAGACACGGUCCAA